GUUGGUUUAUUGAAAGAUGGCAUAAUCAAUUUGACUUUCUUAACUUAAGGAUUAACAAUCUUGUGGCGAUGAUUAUUGCAGGCACGUGUUUUACUUCCCAAGUUUAUGAAGUUUCCCCCUAUUUCCUUCACAAAGAAUGGAUUAUGGAGCAAUGGGCAAGACGUAUUACAUCAGUGCUGUAGCCGGAGCCAAUAAUGAGAGCUCCUUGGUGUUGAUGUCUAAAGGUGAAUAAUUUAAGAGAGGAGUCGGUACAAUCAGGGAAAACACAACCAGGAAAACUGCAUAUCAAAGUUUUCGCUAAAGAGCCUGAAAGAAGACAAAAUAAUUCUUGGCGUAAAGACUAAAUCAGAAUUGUGGUUGUCGUGACUGCAUGCUGCUGGAGUUUAAGGCAAGAUUUUUUUUUUGUCUUUGAGUUGGGGCAGGCUUAAGAUUUAAAAUUGGGCUUCGUAGCUAGUUCAAAUUCCUAAGGUUUAUGAUAGAAAUGGGCUCCUUGUUGGUGUGUAGUAUACGGAUGUUUAAUCACUGGUGGCAUUGUGUAAAUCUUGUGAAUAUACGCUAUUGCAAGAGGUGAGGUCAGUGAGUAACCUAUUUCUUUGAUACAUUUUUUCUAUGCUCUGCUUUUUUUGUGAUCGAUAUCCGUGAAUUGCGACUUCAUCUACUGUUUAAACUUAAUAUUUGGACGACUAGCUCGUGAAUUGUUCUUUCACAGAUGGUGAAUUUUCCUGAUCUCAACAUUUAUGUGAUAAAUUCUACAGAUCUGAACGGUGUUUUUGUGUUGUUGUGUUCCUUGUCAAGAAGAAACUACUGGAGAUAAAGAAAAGAAGGCAGGGUAUAGUUAUUUAGGUUGGUGUACACACUAGCAUGAAACUGCAGUAUGAAGCAAUAGUGUAUAUGUUACGAUUGCUGCA